GACGAACGCUGGCGGCGUGCUUAACACAUGCAAGUCGAACGGAAAGGCCCUGCUUUUGUGGGGUGCUCGAGUGGCGAACGGGUGAGUAACACGUGAGUAACCUGCCCUUGACUUUGGGAUAACUUCAGGAAACUGGGGCUAAUACCGGAUAGGAGCUCCUGCUGCAUGGUGGGGGUUGGAAAGUUUCGGCGGUUGGGGAUGGACUCGCGGCUUAUCAGCUUGUUGGUGGGGUAGUGGCUUACCAAGGCUUUGACGGGUAGCCGGCCUGAGAGGGUGACCGGCCACAUUGGGACUGAGAUACGGCCCAGACUCCUACGGGAGGCAGCAGUGGGGAAUAUUGCACAAUGGGCGGAAGCCUGAUGCAGCAACGCCGCGUGCGGGAUGACGGCCUUCGGGUUGUAAACCGCUUUCGCCUGUGACGAAGCGUGAGUGACGGUAAUGGGUAAAGAAGCACCGGCUAACUACGUGCCAGCAGCCGCGGUGAUACGUAGGGUGCGAGCGUUGUCCGGAUUUAUUGGGCGUAAAGGGCUCGUAGGUGGUUGAUCGCGUCGGAAGUGUAAUCUUGGGGCUUAACCCUGAGCGUGCUUUCGAUACGGGUUGACUUGAGGAAGGUAGGGGAGAAUGGAAUUCCUGGUGGAGCGGUGGAAUGCGCAGAUAUCAGGAGGAACACCAGUGGCGAAGGCGGUUCUCUGGGCCUUUCCUGACGCUGAGGAGCGAAAGCGUGGGGAGCGAACAGGCUUAGAUACCCUGGUAGUCCACGCUGUAAACGGUGGGUACUAGGUGUGGGGUCCAUUCCACGGGUUCCGUGCCGUAGCUAACGCUUUAAGUACCCCGCCUGGGGAGUACGGCCGCAAGGCUAAAACUCAAAGGAAUUGACGAGGCCCCGCACAAGCGGCGGAGCAUGCGGAUUAAUUCGAUGCAACGCGUAGAACCUUACCUGGGUUUGACAUGGAUCGGGAGUGCUCAGAGAUGGGUGUGCCUCUUUUUGGGGUCGGUUCACAGGUGGUGCAUGGCUGUCGUCAGCUCGUGUCGUGAGAUGUUGGGUUAAGUCCCGCAACGAGCGCAACCCUUGUUCACUGUUGCCAGCACGUUAUGGUGGGGACUCAGUGGAGACCGCCGGGGUCAACUCGGAGGAAGGUGGGGAUGACGUCAAGUCAUCAUGCCCCUUAUGUCCAGGGCUUCACGCAUGCUACAAUGGCUGGUACAGAGAGUGGCGAGCCUGUGAGGGUGAGCGAAUCUCGGAAAGCCGGUCUCAGUUCGGAUUGGGGUCUGCAACUCGACCUCAUGAAGUCGGAGUCGCUAGUAAUCGCAGAUCAGCAACGCUGCGGUGAAUACGUUCCCGGGGCU
rnacentral:rRNA from 1 species